GUCCUUUUCAUGUAACUUCUAAAAUUCAGAUGAUUUGUUAUCGCUCCUAAAAUCGCCAACAAUUCUUUUGAAAAUUUUCCAGUUCUCUGUGAAGAAUCGUCCAGUCUCUGUAUGGAAGGGGACGGGAAACAUAUAAGACAAUAAUAUGUCAGCAUCUCAUGAGAGUACAGGUAUAUGUGUGUCACACACUGAGUCCCCAGAAUUCAACUUAAUUUCUGUUGAGUAUGGAAUCAGCUGUAUCAUCUGACCUAAAACAAAACUUUAACCUUGUUCAAUAUUUACAGAAUCAGAUCUGUUGUUUUCUUUUAGGCUUUGGAGAUGGUGUGUUUGGAAUGGCUAGGCAUGUCAGGGCCAUAGAACGCCUUUAAACACAUCCGUCCAGUGUCUUGUUCUCUGUUUCCUGCUCCAAAGCAUUUCUUGAUCUCCCGUGGGAGCCUCAAGGAUUAAACAAGAUACAUCACCUCCCCACUGCCUUCCACGAAGCCUACGUUCCAAGACUUCCAGUGGAUUCCUGAAACUACAGGAGUUCCAGCAGAGCCAGAGGCGACAGUGCCACCAGCAGCGAUGACAAAUUGAAGACUUCACUCAAAGGUGAGUCAGGUCAGCAUGGACCUAGGCCCUUCCUUCUCCAGUGUGCACUGAGUUCCAGCAGAGAAGGCCUGCCCGGAGCUGGCAACCACAGGACACCCUCCUCUAUCAUCCAUACAAGCUCUGACAUAGGGACCAGCUAGGGGUGGCUGGUUAGCUGGUGCAAGGUGGAAGGGACUCGCCCGCUUCGAGCCACGCUCCAGGAAACAUGAGUUUCGCCAACAAUGACCAGGUUCCUUUCUCACCAUGCACUUGGUGGCCUCCACUCGCGGAGCUCGCCUCCGACAGAGCGGUCUCCUUCUAGGCUGCCGGCUCCUGCCGGAGGGCGUGCAGCAAGAUGCAUGCCCGGGGUCCUAGUGUCUUCCCCAAGCUCCUGGAUUUGCAAAGGCUAUGAUAGGUGGCCGGCGGCAGCCACAGCCUGGGA